GAUGAACGCUGGCGGCGUGCCUAAUACAUGCCAGUCGAGCGAACAGACGAGGAGCUUGCUCCUCUGACGUUAGCGGCGGACGGGUGAGUAACACAUGGAUAACCUACCUAUAAGACUGGGAUAACUUCGGGAAACCGGAGCUAAUACCGGAUAAUAUAUUGAACCGCAUGGUUCAAUAGUGAAAGACGGUUUUGCUGUCACUUAUAGAUGGAUCCGCGCCGCAUUAGCUAGUUGGUAAGGUAACGGCUUACCAAGGCAACGAUGCGUAGCCGACCUGAGAGGGUGAUCGGCCACACUGGAACUGAGACACGGUCCAGACUCCUACGGGAGGCAGCAGUAGGGAAUCUUCCGCAAUGGGCGAAAGCCUGACGGAGCAACGCCGCGUGAGUGAUGAAGGUCUUCGGAUCGUAAAACUCUGUUAUUAGGGAAGAACAAAUGUGUAAGUAAUUAUGCACGUCUUGACGGUACCUAAUCAGAAAGCCACGGCUAACUACGUG
rnacentral:rRNA from 1 species